UCCCUGGUGGCUCAGUGGUAAAGAAUCCGCCUCCAAUGCAGGAGACACAGGUUCCAUCCCUGAUCCGGGAA
rnacentral:tRNA from 1 species